GAUGAAGAACGCAGCGAAAUGCGAUAAGUAAUGUGAAUUGCAGAAUUCAGUGAAUCAUCGAAUCUUUGAACGCACAUUGCGCCCCCUGGUAUUCCGGGGGGCAUGCCUGUUCGAGCGUCAUUUCACCACUCAAGCCUCGCUUGGUAUUGGGCAUCGCGGUCCGCCGCGCGCCUCAAAUCGACCGGCUGGGUCUUCUGUCCCCUAAGCGUUGUGGAAACUAUUCGCUAAAGGGUGUUCGGGAGGCUACGCCGUAAAACAACCCCAUUUCUAAGGUUGACCUCGGAUCAGGUAGGGAUACCCGCUGAACUUAAGCAUAUCAAUAGGCGGAGGA
rnacentral:misc_RNA from 1 species